rnacentral:rRNA from 1 species
AGUGGAGCGACGAACCAGGGGCUUGCCCCUGGGGCAGAGCCGCGAACGGGUGAGUAACACGUGGGCAACCUGCCCCGAUGACCGGGACAACCCGAGGAAACUCGGGCUAAUACCGGAUGUGCUCCCGCCACACCAGUGGCGUGAGGAAAGGAAGCUUCGGCCUCCGCAUCGGGAUGGGCCCGCGGCCCAUUAGCUUGUUGGUGGGGUAACGGCCUACCAAGGCGACGAUGGGUAGCUGGUCUGAGAGGACGAUCAGCCACACUGGGACUGAGACACGGCCCAGACUCCUACGGGAGGCAGCAGUGGGGAAUCUUGCGCAAUGCGCGAAAGCGUGACGCAGCAACGCCGCGUGGGGGAAGACGGCCUUCGGGUUGUAAACCCCUUUCAGUUGGGACGAAGUCCGGUCGGUGAACAGCCGCGCCGGGUGACGGUACCUUCAGAAGAAGCCCCGGCCAACUACGUGCCAGCAGCCGCGGUAAUACGUAGGGGGCAAGCGUUGUCCGGAAUCAUUGGGCGUAAAGCGCGUGUAGGCGGCUCGGUAAGUCCGCUCUGAAAGCCCGGGGCUCAACCCCGGGAGGCGGGCGGAUACUGCCGAGCUCGAGUCCGGAAGAGGCGAGUGGAAUUCCUGGUGUAGCGGUGAAAUGCGCAGAUAUCAGGAGGAACACCAAUGGCGAAGGCAGCUCGCUGGGACGGUACUGACGCUGAACGCGAAAGCGUGGGGAGCAACAGGAUUAGAUACCCUGGUAGUCCACGCCGUAAACGAUGGACACUAGUGGUGGGAGGUGUCGACUCCUUCGU